AUUGAACGCUGGCGGCAGGCCUAACACAUGCAAGUCGAACGAGUGGGGACGGGUGAGUAACACGUGGGUAACCUCCCAUCAGAGGGGAUAACACUUGGAAACAGGUGCUAAACCGAUACUGAUGGAUGGACCCGCGGUGCAUUAGCUAUUUGGUGAGGUAACGGCUCACCAAGGCCACGAUGCAUAGCAGGCCUGAGGGGUUGUUCGGCAAAACUGGGACUGAGACACGGCCCAGACUCCAACGGGAGGCAGCAGUAGGGAAUCUUCGGCAAUGGACGAAAGUCUGACCGAGCAACGCCGCGUGAGUGAAGAAGGUUUUCGGAUCGUAAAACUCUGUUGUUAGAGAAGCGGUAUCUAACCAGAAAGCCACGGCUAACUACGUGCCAGCCGCCGCGGUAAUUC
rnacentral:rRNA from 1 species